CUUAUGAUGAGAAGACACGUUUACCUGACACCUCUUCUGAUUUAACAUUGACGAGUAACGACUGCUAACAGUUAUCCCUGUCUGAC
rnacentral:ncRNA from 2 species